rnacentral:rRNA from 1 species
GAUGAACGCUGGCGGCGUGCCUAAUACAUGCAAGUCGAGCGAACGGACGAGAAGCUUGCUUUUCUGAUGUUAGCGGCGGACGGGUGAGUAACACGUGGAUAACCUACCUAUAAGACUGGGAUAACUUCGGGAAACCGGAGCUAAUACCGGAUAAUAUUUUGAACCGCAUGGUUCAAAAGUGAAAGACGGUCUUGCUGUCACUUAUAGAUGGAUCCGCGCUGCAUUAGCUAGUUGGUAAGGUAACGGCUUACCAAGGCAACGAUGCAUAGCCGACCUGAGAGGGGGAUCGGCCACACUGGAACUGAGACACGGUCCAGACUCCUACGGGAGGCAGCAGUAGGGAAUCUUCCGCAAUGGGCGAAAGCCUGACGGAGCAACGCCGCGUGAGUGAUGAAGGUCUUCGGAUCGUAAAACUCUGUUAUUAGGAAAGAACAUAUGUGUAAGUAACUGUGCACAUCUUGACGGUACCUAAUCAGAAAGCCACGGCUAACUACGUG